rnacentral:rRNA from 1 species
UGAAUACGAGACGCUAAGGCGUCGAAGUAGUGUAUGUCAUACUUCCAAGAAAAGCUUGCACUGUCAUAGAUAAAAAACGCCUGUACCAUAACCGACACAGGUGGGUAGGUAGAGUAUACUAAGGGGCGCGAGAUAACUCUCUCUAAGGAACUCGGCAAAAUAACUCCGUAACUUCGGGAGAAGGAGUGCCUUAUUCGUAAGGUUGCAAUAACAAGAUCCAAGCAACUGUUUUAUCAAAAACACAGGUCUCCGCUAAGUCGUAAGACGAUGUAUGGGGGCUGACGCCUGCCCAGUGCCAUAAGGUUAAAGAAGUUGGUUAGCAAUUGCGAAGCUGAUAACUGAAGCCCUGGUGAACGGCGGCCGUAACCAUAACGGUCCUAAGGUAGCGAAAUUCCUUGUCGGGUAAGUUCCGACCCGCACGAAAGGCGUAAUGAUUUGGAUACUGUCUCGGAGAGGGGCUCGGUGAAAUAGACUUGUCUGUGAAGAUGCGGACUACCUGCACCAGGACAGAAAGACCCUAUGGAGCUUUACUGUAACUUGAAAUUGAAAUUGGACUUUAUUCGCGCAGUAUAGGUGGGAGGCGUUGAUUAUAAUCUUGUGGGAUUAUUGGAGCCAUCAGUGAGAUACCACUCUUGUAAUGUUAGAUUUCUAACUUUGAAUCAUUAUCUGGUCAAAGAACAGUUUCAGGCGGGCAGUUUGACUGGGGCGGUCGCCUCCUAAACGGUAACGGAGGCGUACAAAGGUUUCCUCUGAACGGUUAGAAAUCGUAUCUAGAGUGUAAAGGCAUAAGGAAGCUUGACUGUGAGACCUACAAGUCGAGCAGGGACGAAAGUCGGUCUUAGUGAUCUGACGGUACUGAGUGGAAGGGCCGUCACUCAGCGGAUAAAAGUUACUCUAGGAUAACAGGCUGAUCUCCCCCAAGAGUUCACAUCGACGGGGAGGUUUGGCACCUUGAUGUCGGCUCAUCGCAUCCUGGGGCGGUAGUACGUCCCAAGGGUUGGGCUGUUCGCCCAUGAAAGCGGUACGCGAGCUGGGUUCAGAACGUCGUGAGACAGUUCGGUCCAUAUCCGGUGUAGGCGUUAGAAUAUUGAGAGGAGCCUUCUUUAGUACGAGAGGACCGAGAAGGACAUACCUCUGGUGUACCAGUUAUCGUGCCAACGGUAAACGCUGGGUAGCUAUGUAUGGAGUGGAUAACCGCUGAAAGCAUCUAAGUGGGAAGCCCACCUCAAGAUAAG